AUGAAAAAUGUUGACAGAAGAAAGAGAGCACAACCUGGGAUUAGCAAAAAGAUAGUUUUGCCCUUGUCGGGAGUGUGCUCUCUUUCCUUCUGCCACCAUCAUUGCG
rnacentral:pre_miRNA from 1 species